CAAAAAACCAAACAAACAACAAAGCCACCCCUUCUGCACAUAUAUAUACUCAAUACAGAAUUCUCAGGAGCUAUAAGAGAAUAGUCCCCAAGUCUUACUCACUUUGCUUCAUGGGUAUUAUGGAAGGACUGAAUGGAUCUAUCUUUCCUCCCCUAAGAGAGACAAGAAUGAGGCUGGAUAACACCUUCCCUACAGACUCAGUGAUGAAAUGCUUAAGGUUGGCCAUUUGACUACAGGAAUCACACAGACAGGAAGAUGAAUGCUUUCUUCUCAGAGGAUCAAAGAGGAGCCAGAAUUUCAGGAAACCAGACAUCUGUAAAGAGGCAAUGAGAACCUUCGCUCAAGGACCUAGCUCGAGUUUGAAGAGAGAAUCCGGUGACCAGCAAGGCCAAAUGUUUACAGAUAAGGCUCAAAUAGUCCAACUCUUCUACAUCCUUAGGAGCAGACCAGUUUACAGAACAGCUGCUGUGUGUCCAUGUUAUUGUCAACGGCAUCUAGAAUCAUUGGAGACAUGGGCCUGUAGACAUGCUGUGGGGAAUUGUCUUUAGUUUGUUAGUAUGGAAAGAUCUGUCCACUGUGGGCAGAACUAUUCCCUGAUUGGGCUCCUGGACUGUGGUGCUUGGACUCCUUGCCAUCUGCUUUCUGUUUGUGGAUACAAUGUUACCAGCUUCUUCAAGCUCCUGUGGUCUUGACUUGCGAGAAUAAAACCUUUCUCCAUUAAGUUGCCUUUGUCAGAAUACUUUAGACAAAUAGCAAGGUAUCAGGCAACUGAGCUACACACUUUAUUCUUAUUACUUCCUUCAAUCUUUGCAACAAAUAAACCUAGCAAGGAGAGUAAUGUCUCAAGUUUUCAGAUCAGGAAACAGGGAGAUUCAGAAACUUGCCCCAGGGGAUACAAGAGAACUACCAGCUGUUACCUUAUAAAUUGUCACUCUCUAAAAUAGCUUUACACAUUGUGAUAUAACUGAAGGAGGCUGGCCUUUGUAAGAGUUGGGAGAGGUGUGGGUGGCAGUGAUGCUGAUGACAUCUUCCCUAAGCACAUGGUUUGCCCCAGUGUAGUGCAGGCAGGGGAUAUUGUCUGUAGUGAUGAGGGUUGCAAAAGUUUCUGGCCUUUGUUUUCACUCUAUCAAAAGGACUGAAAAUGUGGAGUUUUAAAUAAAAGCACCUGAGUUUUAUAUUUGUGCCAUCUACCCCGAUUUUUAAAAAGUGCU
rnacentral:sRNA from 1 species